UGACCAUCUGACCGGUGUCUGCAUGUCCACUUCAUCCAAGGCCGGGGACACCAGAAGCUGGGGCCGAGGACAGAGUAAAGACACUGGCCCCAGAAACAGCGGCCUACAGGACGCAGGCCUGAGGACCUCUGAGAAGCGCCCUUGCAUCCCUCUCUGCAAAAAACAGUCACAGCGUUCUCAAAAGCAAACAAGUGAGCUCCUCUCUACCUACAGUGUUGCCUGCACACCCCAAAGAGCGCCCUUGGGAAGGGGUUUGAGGGUCAAGUCCAAAGAGGAGCUUCGUGUCCCCAAGAUAAUCCAGGGGGAGGAGGAGCCCGAGCGAGCUGGAGAGAAGGCCAAGGUCAAUGCCUCGUGGCUGAGCGUCCUGUCCUCGGGGCAACACUGCAGUCCUAAAGGCCCACAUCGAGGAAGCGGCGCAAGAGCUCAGCCAAGCGAGCAGCUCCGAGUGAAGUGAGGGCACAGGACACCCCAGGAGCCACUGCCACAGGGCUCGCGUGCACCCCUCACUAAACCUCAUACUCCUGUCAACCGGACAAGCUGUACCAGGCCACAGUGUGCGUCCUUCAGAAAUGACCAUUUCCUGCAUUUCACUCUCAUAGACCAGGAGAGAACACUGAAAACUCUGUGUUCUCUUUCCCUGUUUCUCUGCCAUGUAUCAGAUAAAAGAUGUACAGACCAAAGAAAUAGUUGGUUUUCUGCAUUUAUUUAUUUUUCUUUGCCAAGCCAUUCACCAGUAGUUUCUCAGAGAGUUCUUCUAAAGCCCUUAAAAGAAAAUUAGUUUGCAACACCCUUUAUUAUGUUAAUGGGGCCCACUCUGAGUCCAGAUACAAUAACUACAAAGAGAAAGGAAAGUGUUUAUCCUCAGAACCUGCUGGGGCCCCUGGGCUGUAUUCUCAUUUCUCGUUCAUCCACUCGCCAUGACAGUCUUGAGAGGAACCUAUUGUUAGGCCCGUGUCAAGAAGUAGGGGACUCAGCCUACAGACCAAUGUUAGAUAUAAUAAAUCACACAUUCAGUUUUUAAAAAUUAAGGAACUGAGGCUCUCAGAGGUGAAGAACUGUACCAAGCAGGGUGUGGCAGUGGAUACUUGCAGUCGAAGCUACUGGAGGCUGAGACAAGAAGAUCUCUGAAGCCCAGGAUUUGAAGGCCAGUUUGGGCAACCUAGCAAAACACUGACUGAAAAGAAAGGAAAGAAGGAAGGGCCAAAGGGAGGGAAGGAGGACAGAGGGAAAGAACAAGGGAGGGAGGGAGAGAGAAAAGAAGGAAGGAAGACAAACAUCCAAUAACCACAAAGCUAGGGGGGUAGAAGUCCAAUUCAAAACUAGAUAGAGCUAAGGCUGCUGAUCUUUCAUCCACUCCACUAAGAUGUUCUUGUAAAGCACUUAAUUCACACCCAGGGGAUGAAAACACCCUGGAAAAGAUGAGUUUGGCGGGGAGAGGGGCGCACAAACACCAGGAUAGGAAGAAGAGGGCCUCGGCAGCAAGGAAGAUGUCUUCCUGACAGGCCCUGAUUAUUGAAAAGCAGUUGCUUUGCUCCUGUAAAAGUCUCUGAGCCCGGUGUAACAUGUGCGUGACUUUAGUGAUCCUGGGUGACAACAUCCUGUGCGCUUCUCCCUGUCAACCACCAGCCCUGGGGACUCGAAAGCGGCCACCACUUUUCUUCCUAACACCAGGCAGAGUUGCGCUCAACAGUGCUGACCAGCGAACACACCCGCUGGGUUGACAGCUGGUUUCGAGUUUUUUGCCCACAGCGAUGCAAAAUAUUCCUCCCGCAGGGCCUUUCGAUGGGCUGUCGGUGGCCAGCGAGAAGUGGAGCCAUGACCUUGAAUCCCAAGCGCUCCAGCUCUGGGCCGAGGCUUCCUGAGUGCUUCCCUCUGGCUGCGUGUGCACUUCCUCUCGGCGGCCCUAUCUGCAAAAGAAGAGCUGGGGCUGCAACAGGCGGCAGGAAGUAAAAGGGAAAACACAAUCGAGUGCAGAGCAGAAGAAUCAAGACUGAGAAUCCUUUAAGGGGGGUGAGCUGAAAACAAACUGAACCGUUGCCAUCAGUGCCUUCCGAUAGGGAGGAGCAAAUCGGGUGCAAACCUCCGAGAGGGCGCUCAGGAUCCUCUUUGCACCCACUUUCCUUCCACGUGGUGAGGUGCCCCACCCAAGCCUCAGGCCCUGGAUCCUGCUGCUCUCUUAAAACCCGCGGUUCACUAAAUCAGUCUGAUUCCUAGAAUCCAGACUAGGCAUUGACAAAAGCAAAACAGAAGGCAAAAACUAGCAGUGCACAGCAAAAAUGAUUCAGUGGGAUUUGCAAAAUAACUCCUUCCUAAGGCACACUUCGGUUUUCGAGAACACAGGUCCUUGCCUUUGCUGGAGGACAUUUAGUGGACAAAAGGGAAUAUUCCAGCCUUCAGCGGGAACGAAAGUGAGGUUAUGCUACCUUGCAAAAGAGAAAACACUGCCAAGUGACAAAGGGGAAGGAGGCAGAAGAUCACCUCAGCGUUUUAAAAGCAGAAACUCAAAGCCAGGGGAAGUGGCACAUGCCUGCAACCCCAGCACCCAGGAGGCUGAGGUAAAAGGAGUGCAAGGCCAGCCUGGGCUACAUAGCAAGACCUUGUCUCAAAAAACAAAAAAAUAAAAGCAGAAACCCAAAUCAGCAUCCCACCUUCCUCUCUCCAUCUACAAGUUUUCUUAACAAAAUGAAACUGGAAUUGGGGUUAAAUAAAGAUAUCUGAGUUCCCCUAACUGUCUCGUCUGCUACACAGACUUGGUCCGAAGGUUCUGCCUCGGUCACCUGUGUGGGGAGAAGCGGGUCUAGCGAAAUGUAAGCCACAGCUACUACAGUUGUGUAGAAAGUUGUACUCCAUUAUAGCCUAUAAAGAAGCUACAGGGAGUUAUCGAAGGGAAUAUUUUUCCCUGGAAAAAUUAAAACCAAGCAAAACAAAUCACCAGUGCUUUGGCAAAUAACAAAGCAAAAGAAAGGGCCUUGGAGGUCACACUAAGGAAACAAGAUUCCCUUGGUCAAGGUGAAACCUUUAGACACCCAGCAAAGUCACUCAGGGACUCUUGGGCUGCAUGGAAUGUGCACCAUGAUUUCAAUCAUAUCAGCAAACUGUGACAUGGAUCAAGUCUCAAAUCUAUUCUUUUUUUUUCUUCUGGGUAUCAAACCCAGGCCCCAGCUCAUGCUAAGCAGGUCUUCUACCACUGAACUACACCCUUAGCUCUGAAAUUAUUCUUAGUUCGUUUUAAUUUUUAAAAUAAUAUCACCCAACCAGAUGUAGCAGUGCAUGCCUGGGAUCCCAGCACCCUGAAGCAGGAGGGUCACAAGUUCGGGCCCAGCUUGGGUAAUUUAAUAACUUGGCAAUACCUUGUCUUACAAUAAAAAAUUAAAAAGGGCCUGGGUUUUAGUUCAUUGUGAAGGCCUUAGUUCAAUCUCAGAUAGAUAGGUAGAUAGAUAGAUAGAUAAUAGAAUAUUACCCAAGGAAGGUGGGCGUUAAAUCAAACAAAACAUGAAAAAGAGAAACUAAAAGUGUAAAUAAGGAUUAAAAUGAAUAAUUCAUAAUUUGAAAUAGGAAGAAAAAGUCCAAACGGGUAGGGGAAGUGGGAGGGGAAAGGAAAAGGAAAGAAGGAAAAGGAAAAAUUAUGAGAAAAGGAAAAAAUGGAAACAAAGUCUUUGUAAAUAGGGAAGGGUGGACAGGGAAUGGGGAAAAACUAAGAACCAAGAUCCAUCAUGUACAGGUACAAGUACCCAAUGAUAAAUGUAAAUGUAUUAUAUAUCUAAAGUGUACCAAUAAAAGAAUUUAAGCAAAAAAAAAAUGAAAAAGAAACUUCAGAAAAUUAGAAAAUAGUUGCUUUUUGCCUGCAGUUCCUUACUCAGAUGCCAAUAUCCAUCUAAAACAAUAAUUCCCUUCUCCAUUUUCUCCUAAUCAAAAUAGUUGAAGAGAACAGGCCCGCUCCUUUUACUCUCUCUCUCUCCCUCUUUCCCUCUUUCUCUCUCACUACAAGCAAGAAUCCCCAAUCAUUCAUGUGAUAGAGUUUCUUCACCAACAAUCUCUUAACAAAAGCUAAUGAUAAGGAACUUUGUAAAAACAUCAAGCAAAUUGUACACACACAUGCACACACACACACCUUAAUCUUCAGCUGUCAGAACCGCUUCUGGCUAGCUUUCUACUUCAGGAGACCCAAAAGUAUACUGUACACCACAAAAAAGACAUUGAGGGUUGCUUGUUUAGAAUACAAAAACAGGCGAGCCAGGGAUUUAGCUCAGUGGUUUCCCUGCCUGCUGCGCAAGCGCAAGGACCCAAGUUCGAUCCCCGGGACCAAAAAAAAACAAAACAGGAAAACAAAGGUCCUCUACUGGCAGCGGUAGUAAAGAAACUCUUCUAUUUGCCCAUCAUCCUUCCUAUAAAAUAUGGGUAGAGAUAAGAGAGUAAGUAUUAAUAUGUAUUAAGUACACAUUUUAUGCCAGGCCAUUGUAUGCUGUGGGUUAUCUCCUGUAACCCUCAUAACAAUCCUACAAGGUAAGGUCUUAUUCUCAUUUUUCAGAUGUAGAACUGAGGCCUAAAGAGUCUCGAAUGGAGCAGAACUAAGCUAUGAGCCCAGACAGCCUCACUGCAGAGCCCGAUCCUUAACUCCUAGGCCCUCCUGCCUCUCUGGAGUAUAUGGUGAGCAGGAAUCAGAAGACUGACUUGAUCUCAAGACCUACUUCUGUUGCUUGCCACUAGCUUGUCCAGGCCCUUGAGUGAAAUGAAGGAAGAGCUGAAGAUGUUUGACCAGGGCCCUAAAGCUUUUUUCUAGUUCUUCCAUUCUGGCCUUCCAGAAGCCUCAUGUCUGGCUUCUCUGGGUCUUCUCCGCCCGCACCCCCACCCCUGCCCGGCUCUUAAGGGAUUGCUGGGGGAUGAUAGGAGGCAGUCUUUGCAAAGGAUUCGAAAAGGUAAAAAGGGCUAUGUCUGAGGUGAGCAGCCUGACCUCAGGAAGGGAAGGGAAGUCCAGGAUCUGAUCCUUCACCCUG
rnacentral:lncRNA from 1 species